GGGUCAGCUCCGUCAGAACACACUCUUAGAUGUGAGAGGACGUGUGUGUGUCGUCUGUCAGCGUUUCUGCUGAAAACAGCUUCGUACCAUCUCCCAACAGAACAGGAAGCAGGUGAAGGUAGAAAGUGUGUGUGAG